UGGAGACGCCCGAAGCCGAUUAUCUAACCUUUUGGAAGAAGUCGUCGAAGGUGGAAUCAAUAACUGGGGGGAAGUCGUAACAAGGUAGCCGUAUCGGAAGGUGCGGCUGGAUCACCUCCUUUCUAAGGAGA
rnacentral:rRNA from 1 species